rnacentral:rRNA from 1 species
AUUAAUGUGAGAAUCAUUAACGCCGUAAACCCAAGGUUUCCUACGCGAUGCUCGUCAUCGUAGGGUUAGUCGGGUCCUAAGUCGAGUCCGAAAGGGGUAGACGAUGGCAAAUUGGUUAAUAUUCCAAUACCAACAUUAGUGUGCGAUGGAAGGACGCUUAGGGCUAAGGGGGCUAGCGGAUGGAAGUGCUAGUCUAAGGUCGUAGGAGGUUAUACAGGCAAAUCCGUAUAACAAUACUCCGAGAACUGAAAGGCUUUUUGAAGUCUUCGGAUGGAUAGAAGAACCCCUGAUGCCGUCGAGCCAAGAAAAGUUUCUAAGUUUAGCUAAUGUUGCCCGUACCGUAAACCGACACAGGUGGGUGGGAUGAGUAUUCUAAGGCGCGUGGAAGAACUCUCUUUAAGGAACUCUGCAAAAUAGCACCGUAUCUUCGGUAUAAGGUGUGGUUCGCUUCGUAUUAGGAUUUACUCCGAAAGCGAAGAAACUUACAACAAAGAGUCCCUCCCGACUGUUUACCAAAAACACAGCACUCUGCUAACUCGUAAGAGGAUGUAUAGGGUGUGACGCCUGCCCGGUGCUCGAAGGUUAAUUGAUGGGGUUAGCAUUAGCGAAGCUCUUGAUCGAAGCCCGAGUAAACGGCGGCCGUAACUAUAACGGUCCUAAGGUAGCGAAAUUCCUUGUCGGUUAAAUACCGACCUGCAUGAAUGGCGUAACGAGAUGGGAGCUGUCUCAAAGAGGGAUCCAGUGAAAUUGUAGUGGAGGUGAAAAUUCC